rnacentral:rRNA from 1 species
CUUUCGGGGUGGAUUAGUGGCGAACGGGUGAGUAACACGUGGGCAAUCUGCCCUUCACUCUGGGACAAGCCCUGGAAACGGGGUCUAAUACCGGAUAACACUCUGUCCCGCAUGGGACGGGGUUAAAAGCUCCGGCGGUGAAGGAUGAGCCCGCGGCCUAUCAGCUUGUUGGUGGGGUAAUGGCCUACCAAGGCGACGACGGGUAGCCGGCCUGAGAGGGCGACCGGCCACACUGGGACUGAGACACGGCCCAGACUCCUACGGGAGGCAGCAGUGGGGAAUAUUGCACAAUGGGCGAAAGCCUGAUGCAGCGACGCCGCGUGAGGGAUGACGGCCUUCGGGUUGUAAACCUCUUUCAGCAGGGAAGAAGCGAAAGUGACGGUACCUGCAGAAGAAGCGCCGGCUAACUACGUGCCAGCAGCCGCGGUAAUACGUAGGGCGCAAGCGUUGUCCGGAAUUAUUGGGCGUAAAGAGCUCGUAGGCGGCUUGUCACGUCGGAUGUGAAAGCCCGGGGCUUAACCCCGGGUCUGCA